GACGAACGCUGGCGGCGUGCCUAAUACAUGCAAGUAGAACGCUGAAGGAGGAGCUUGCUUCUCUGGAUGAGUUGCGAACGGGUGAGUAACGCGUAGGUAACCUGCCUGGUAGCGGGGGAUAACUAUUGGAAACGAUAGCUAAUACCGCAUAAUAGUAGAUGUUGCAUGACAUUUGCUUAAAAGGUGCAAUUGCAUCACUACCAGAUGGACCUGCGUUGUAUUAGCUAGUUGGUGGGGUAACGGCUCACCAAGGCGACGAUACAUAGCCGACCUGAGAGGGUGAUCAGCCACACUGGGACUGAGACACGGCCCAGACUCCUACGGGAGGCAGCAGUAGGGAAUCUUCGGCAAUGGACGGAAGUCUGACCGAGCAACGCCGCGUGAGUGAAGAAGGUUUUCGGAUCGUAAAGCUCUGUUGUAAGAGAAGAACGAGUGUGAGAGUGGAAAGUUCACACUGUGACGGUAUCUUACCAGAAAGGGACGGCUAACUACGUG
rnacentral:rRNA from 1 species